GAAUAAAUGAAUGAGUAAUUAAGUAAAGAAGGAAGUAAGUAAGUAAGUGAAUAAAUAAAUGGUUUUUGAAUAAGUACGCAAAUGAUGAAUUAAUUGCUUGAUUAGAUGAAUAUA
rnacentral:ribozyme from 1 species